GAUCCAUACUUCCCCUACCCCGCAUCUCUAACCACACAGUGCUCGCCGCCAGCACCAUCGGUUGCGCAGAGCUGGCGAACCCACGUCUUGCCUUCUCGGUGGCUCCGUGCGUAGCUCCUCGCGUCCUCGCUCUCCAUCUCUCUCCAUGUGAUCGCGACUCCUCGGAUUCCCAAUCCUAUUCUUGUGCGAGACCUCUCCUCACCCACGGCUCCAGCAUGCCCGCCGUUGCACGCCACGGAUGCUGUGCCGGUUGUUGCCGACUUGGGGCAGGCGACGCCUACCAAGGCUGUGUUCAUUGAGGUGCGAAGGCCGCUGUGGUGAUCACCCAGAACGUACCACUAGCUUACUUCAAUCCCUUUCAAAGAUGUUGCACGCCCACCACAACACCUGAUCUGCGGCACCAAUCAACGAAGGGGACCUGCUUGUGUUGCCAAACGUCCACGACCCUCACCAGAGGCCAGAGUUGUAGGUCUGUAGUUUGCAGAGUCAGACAAUGAGUUGCCAUUUGCCAAUUGAGAUUUGGUCCGUAGUCUGCAGAGUCAUGCAAUGAGUUGCCAAUUGCAAUUUGCUAUAGAAGAGUACUAGCGACUUGCUGUGCUGUGUGAGGCUCGGUAAUUUUCAAACCCUACAGUACACCCAUGUUUUUGCAAUACGCUGCAUAUGCCUAGCCUCUUCUGAACGGAGAAUAAUUUUAGUGCUAUCUGUGCAUGUAAAAGUUUAGCUCUCUUGUCUUUGCUGGUCAUCUUCACCAUUUUGGUGUUGUGUUGUCUAUUUAAAUUCUUCUAUGUAGCUUGUUGGAACAAUGUUAUUCUUCUCCGAUCUGUAGUUCAAGAUCACGAGCGCUCGCA